CGACAGUGUCUAACUAGUACAUACCGGUACACAGAUACAGGAUACACAGUUUAUUAUUAAAAGUUUGCUCGUCAUUGUCUUAUUGGUAGAAAACAUCCCGUCAUCCUCAAACAAUGAAGAGAAGAACACUGUAUGGAGCUUUCUUUCUGGCACUAGUACUCUGCUCAGCUGUAGCAAUGAUCAAUGAUGAUGACGAUGACGACAACGAUGAUGAUGAAACCAGUUGCGUUACGUCUAAUGGUGUAAAGAUUGAAGCGGGCGAGAAGUUUAUCAGCCCCUGUGUGUUUUGCUCCUGUAUUCCCGGGGAAAAGGAGGCCGUGUGUGGCGGCAUAGACUGUCCCCCAUUGGACUGUACGAAUCCUAGCCGUGUAGAAGGGAAAUGCUGCCCCGUCUGUCAAUAAGCAAAUGUCAUAUAACGAGAUUCCACGGACUCACUGGCAAAUAACCGGCGAUAUCGCACAGAGAAUUUCAGCAUUCUAUCAUUGGUGUGGGACAUCUUAACGGACUCACUGGCAAAUAACCGGCGAUAUCGUACAGAGAAUUUCAACUUUCUAUCAUUGGUGUGGGGUGUGGGACAUUUUAACGGACUCGCUGGCAAAUAACCGGCGAUAUAGUACAGAGAAUUUCAACAUUCUAUCAUUGGUGUAGGACAUUUUCUCUCUCCUUGUUUCUGGCAGAAUUGUGCUUUUAUGUAUUAAAACUACUAUAGGAUUAAACAUUCUUUUGGAAGAAUUUAUCGAUGUGUAAACUCCGGACAAAAUGCUCACACACCGAAUAAAAGUGCGAAGCACUUUUAUGUUAAGUUUGUGAGUAAAAUGUCCGGAGUUUACACAUCGAUAAAUUCUUCAAAAAGAAUGUUUGAUUCUUAUAAUUCCAAUUCAUUCACUUUAUUAACAAUUGCAAAAAUUUUAAUAGUUUCCCCGCACUAUGUUGUUUGUUUUCAGGCGUGUAUGAAUACAUCGCGUUUUUGGAUUUAUUGAUGUGUAAACUCUUGUUCAGCUUUAUUUUUGUCCAAUCAAAACAAUUGUAAUAAAUAACAUUGGAAUUAUUUAAUGUAAAAAUAAUAAUAAUAAUUUUCGAUAAAUAUAGAAUAACACAUUGGAAAUCAGAUUUCAUUAAAACAUUUUAUUUUAUUUACUAACAUACAUGUAAUUCACUUCUCCAAAUAAAACAAUACAAACUGACAAUAGCUAAUGACCGGCAUACUCCGGGCUUCCCGUACAUAAAAUACUGCGUACAAUUGUAUCUCUGUUUGACGUAGUCUGACAUAUAAUGUAUAUAUUAAACUAUGUAAUCAAGAAAUCAAGAUAUUGUAAACCAAUCACAAUGCAUGAAAUCUCGCGGGUGGAUCCAAACAUUAAUGCACUUCGCUUUUAGCUCUUUUUCUGUAACAAUUGUGCAUAUUUACUCACAAUUACCAAACAUUUUUAAUUACAUGCUUUAAAAAUACUAGUUUCCAAAUCAAAUUGCACAUUUUGAAUACUACUGUAAGUAACUAAUAAACAACAUAUGUCACAUGCACUGUAUGUAUUUAAACACAAAGUCGGAAAUUAAUGAUUUGUCAUGUAAAAUAAAAAUAUCUGCAUUGGAAACGAUGAAUUAUGAACUGUAUUAUUAGUUCCUAAAUGGAUUAGAAGCACAUCUUUGGUAUGAACUGUAUGGAAAAACAAAGUUUUUCUUAUGGUUGAUGUUGCAAACAGCUGUAAUACUGCACUUCAUGUUACAAGCCUGUGCGGUACUGGGGUUUAUAUAUGUAUAACAUAAUACAACUCGCGGUACGAAUUGAAUAAAAUCUAAAAAUUUUGAAAAUAAAGUUAAUAAUUUUUUAAAGUGUAAAACACAAGUUGUCAAAUGAUAAAGCUAUAUACACGUAUCGUACUUUGCCCUAUUGUACAUGGUUAAACAAUUAUUCACACAUCAAAACCAUUUAUAAACUGCGAAUAACAACGAUUACGUUUGAACAUUUGUACCGUUACAUGUAUGUUUUAACCACCGUCUUGUAUAAAGCGGAACUGUAACAUUUAUUUCACUGUCACUACUGGUUUCAUUGGUAUGCGCGCGCACCUGAGAUGGUGAGCUUAGAAGCGGCAAUUUGUAUACAUUUUGAUCACUCUUGGACAGGAGAUGGACGGCAUCCUCGUCUUUGUUACUAUAACAACGGAUUGUGUCACUUCGCGAGCGUCUGAUGACGUCAGGACUUGAUAAAUACAAGCCAUGCUGACAAUGAUUGUCUAGAGGUUUGAAUGUGGAUAACC